rnacentral:lncRNA from 1 species
CUCCAGCUCACUUUCCCUCUGCUCCUGUCAACCAGGAUUUCAGCACCCAAAUUAGUGCAAGGCCCCAACCCAAGGAAGCAUCAACUGAAUUGUCAGCCCAAUGAAUGACCCACCCUGGGGACAUGCUGUUAUAGCCCUGCCUCAGCUGUCACCUUCCUGUGGCCUUCCACUUUUCCUCAGCAUGAAGAGCUGCCAAAAACAGCAGUCAAAUUCUCCCUGAGGAAGAAGAAGCUGUGUUCAAGGCUUCUGCUCAUUCUUUCACCAAACUACCUUGCCUUCACAAAGGUGAGAAGGUGACACAAGCCCUCAAAUGCCAUGUUGGUGACCAAUCAUCAUCCUUUCAGUGGCUGUUCACAGACCCUACCAAGUCCCGCCCUAGUCAUGCAAUCCCAAAGAGUGUCUGACAUGGACACUCUGACAAGGUGGGCAAGAAGACAGAAGUAUGGAAUCAAGGCUGGAGAAAUGGGUGUGGGGCAAGAUCUUACAUCUUCAGAAUCUUACAUCAGGAAGCACUGCCCUCUUUUCCUGGGAAUGAACUAUAAGAGUCUGUACCAGGAAAUGCUACCACCAAAACUGCAGUCUGGGGACCACCCCAAAGCAGCCAGAAGUCCCAGAUGCCACCAUUGUUCCUUUGCCAGUCAUAAAGCCAGGACUGGCAAUUUUAUGAGCCUCCCCAGAAAUGCAUUUUCUCUCCUUACAGAUGAAGAAAAUAAAAUCAACCUAGAACUUGGGAAAGGUCACAAGACCAAGGUCUUCAAAUGAGUA